rnacentral:lncRNA from 1 species
AAGAAAUACUGUAGAGGCCGAAUCGGGAUUAUGUAAAUCGCAUAAGGAACCUUAUAAGGUUGAGUGUGAAAAACUAUUUCCAGUCUGUGCCCCCCUUCAGAUGUUCUAGCCCCCCUCAACUAAAAAUAGCUGGUCUGUCUGUUGAUUGACUGACUGGACUUCUAGGCUGCCAAUCUGACCAAUGGUCACUGUGGGCAGUGCACAUCAAUAAAAGGAGCCAUUGAAAAAGAGCACAAAUCAUGGUCUAGUAGUCCACAGAAGCUUGUGACUUAAUCUGGUUCUUAGUUUUAAAUUUAAUGGGUUGCAAAACUAGGACGAACCCCCCCUCCCUCCGCUGACCUCAGUGGGAUCUAGUCCCAGGCAAAACGUGCUCUCGACAGUAAAGGCCGGUGUAACAUAGGUGGGGGCGAGUUUCUACCAAAAACCGGAGGCUGCCGUUCUUGCAUACUGUAGAACGGUGGAAAAAUCCUUGAAUUUAACGGUGAAAUAAAGGAUGUGCAUGUAAUCGAUUUUGCCAUGAACAUUUGGACUUUUAAGUUCUUCAUACUGGUGCAGGCCUGAUGAAGUGAUGUUUUAAUCCCCGAAAGCUCGUGUAUUGUAUGAUGAUUUUUUUAGUGGCGUAUAAAGGUAUCGCCGGUUUUUGCCUUUGAACUUAAGGGGUUUUCUUCCCGAGUGAAGCCAUUCGGUUUCUAACGGGCUCCCUAGUUGAGCGGGUAGUUUUCCUUCUAGAGCGGAUGGAAAAAUCCCCUGCUAGACCUGCCGAGGGAAGAACUAACCCCAACCCGGAGGAGGCGAGGCCGACGGCGGCGGGCAAAGGUGAACCCCGCCUCGUACUUGGAAAGGAGGCGGGUCUCCUCAGCUCACUUUUCUCCCUGCCUCCUUCGCCGGGUUGUGCUUUCGGGCGCCAUUUUGGAGAGCGUUUUGUUUGUGGGCUGAGCCCGGGCAGAGCGAAAGUUAGCUUUCUCCUCCCUCUCCGCCGGGACCGUGACGGCGUUUCUGUGGCAGCGCGGGGGGCUUCGUUGGGCAAGGGCUGUCUGAGCGGGGACCAAGGGGCCGGGGAAGAGGUCGAGGUGGCAGAGGAUAUACUAGAGGGAAAACACGAGGCAGAGCACUGAAUGGCUUUGGGCCUAUAAGACGUGGAAUGGGAAGAAUGCGCCCGUAUCCAGAUGCAAGAGGCGGAAGAGGAGCUCAUGGAGGACCACUUUUCCCACAUAUUCCACCCAUAAGAGGAAUGGCAAGAAUGCCUUUUCUGCCGCCGCCGCCUCCUCCUCUCCCUCCUCCUCCUCCACGGUUAGUAUUGAGAAUGCCAAUGCAGGUACAGUAUAUCUUAAAAUAGCAACUAUAUAGUUUGAGUCAGAACAGAACCUAUUUUCUGCAAGGUUGUUGUUUUCUUAAAUCUUUAAUAUUGUUAUAGUAUUAAUUGCAGACUUUGGACUCAAACUAUCUUAAGUCCCUUUUUGGGAUCCCCCUCUCCCUCCUCCUCCUCCACGGUUAGUAUUGAGAAUGCCAAUGCAGGUACAGUAUAUCUUAAAAUAGCAACUAUAUAGUUUGAGUCAGAACAGAACCUAUUUUCUGCAAGGUUGUUGUUUUCUUAAAUCUUUAAUAUUGUUAUAGUAUUAAUUGCAGACUUUGGACUCAAACUAUCUUAAGUCCCUUUUUGGGAGGAGCAAGACAGGGUAUUGAUAAAAUUAAACAAUUACAUAAUGAUUUCUGUGGAAUUAAUAGGGCCAGAUAGGAAUUGAUGUUGAAAAGGUGAUUCGAGUAUAUAAACCACAUGGAUGUAAUUGUGCUUCUGUUUUUCAGAAAUAUGUAUUAUUGUCAUUUCGAAAGAUAAUUAUUUUUGGAAAACAUUAGUCUAAUUGGACAAAUGCUGUGUCCCAAACUUGCCAUGCGAAAAAUAAAUAAAUGACCAAGGACA